rnacentral:rRNA from 1 species
UACAGAGGGUGCGAGCGUUGUUCGGAAUUAUUGGGCGUAAAGGGCGCGUAGGCGGUGCGGUAAGUCACCUGUGAAAUCUCCUGGCUCAACUGGGAGCUUGCAGGCGAAACUGCCGUGCUGGAGUGUGGGAGAGGUGCGUGGAAUUCCUGGUGUAGCGGUGAAAUGCGCAGAUAUCAGGAGGAACACCGAUGGCGAAGGCAGCUCGCUGGGACGGUACUGACGCUGAGGCGCGAAAGCGUGGGGAGCAAACAGG